rnacentral:lncRNA from 1 species
AACACACAAUACUUUUAUUUAAAGGUUACGGACACGUACAUGUAUCGAGCCCAUUGAUUAUAAUUUAAACACACACAUACAAACAAUAUUCAUAACCAAACCAAACCAAUUAACCCACUUGCACCAUAAGUGACAAGUAGUAUUAAUUAUUGAUCAAUCCUUACGUACGUUAUACUUAACAGCCAUGUAUGCAUGCAUGCAGUGGGUGUGGGUGGACCAUAAUUUAUUUACUUUGGAAGAUGAUGAGUCUCAAUAUCUCUGGUGACGCUAAGAAAAAAAUCUAGAUAAGAAGCAAUUUUUUUUGGUGUUUUUACUUAAUUAAUUAAUUUUAGGGAUCUGCUUAGUGUAUAUCAAAAUCAAUAACCAUAAUAAGAAGCAACCAACACAAUACUUUUAUUUAAAGGAUGGACACGUACAUAUAUCGAGCCCAUUGAUUAUAAUUUAAACACACACAUACACACAAUAUUCAUAAUCAAACCAAACCAAACCACCCCACCCCACCUGCACCAUAAGUGACAAGUAUUAUUUAUUGAUCAAUCCUUACGUACAUACGUAACAGCCAUGCAUGCAUGCAUGCAGUGGGUGUGGGUGAACCAUUAAUUAAUUACUUUGGGAGAUGAUGAGCCUCAAUAUCUCUGGUGACG